AUACGAAGGGGGCUAGCGUUGUUCGGAAUCACUGGGCGUAAAGCGCGCGUAGGUGGAUCAAUUAGUUGAGGGUGAAAUCCCGGGGCUCAACCUCGGAACUGCCUUCAAUACUGUUGAUCUUGAGACCGAGAGAGGUGAGUGGAAUUCCUAGUGUAGAGGUGAAAUUCGUAGAUAUUAGGAAGAACACCAGUGGCGAAGGCGGCUCACUGGCUCGGUACUGACGCUGAGGUGCGAAAGCGUGGGGAGCAAACAGGAUUAGAUACCCUAGUAGUCC
rnacentral:rRNA from 1 species